rnacentral:rRNA from 1 species
GACGAACGCUGGCGGCGUGCUUAACACAUGCAAGUCGAACGCUGAAGCUCAGCUUUUGUUGGGUGGAUGAGUGGCGAACGGGUGAGUAACACGUGAGUAACCUGCCCCCUUCUUUGGGAUAACGCCCGGAAACGGGUGCUAAUACUGGAUAUUCACUGGUCUUCGCAUGGGGGUUGGUGGAAAGGGUUUUUCUGGUGGGGGAUGGGCUCGCGGCCUAUCAGCUUGUUGGUGGGGUGAUGGCCUACCAAGGCUUUGACGGGUAGCCGGCCUGAGAUGGUGACCGGUAACAUAGGGACGGAGAUACGGACCAGACUACUGCGGGAGGCAGCAGUGGGGAAUAUUGCACAAUGGGCGCAAGCCUGAUGCAGCGACGCGGCGUGAGGGAUGGAGGCCUUCGGGUUGUGAACCUCUUUCGCGCAUGGUCAAGCAGCAACAAUGGUUGUGGUGAGGGUAGUGGGUAAAGAAGCGCCGGCUAACUACGUG